GCCUAUACCUUUCUGAUUCAGUUUCAAAAAUUCAAAGUCUUUCGAAACAGGUAUGUUAAUAUUACCUAAUGAUAAUUUAGUCGAAAAAGUUAACAAUUGUUGUGUUUGAAUUAUAUAUGAAGUGAAUGGAGAUAAAGGAGGAAAAGACGAGACAAAUUCAAAACCCACCAGGUUUUACUUUUAGAACUUGAAGCUUCUCUAGGAGUAGUAGCAUAGCUAGAGCACAAUAACAUGAUGUGACAAAAGUUCGUUUUAAGGAAUGUCAAGUCACUUGUUGAUGGAUUACAUGCACAUAAGGAUUUUGCUUAUGAUAUCCUUAUGUUGAGUGGUAAGUUCAUUAUUUUUUUUUUCAUUUUUUCUUCUGUGCAUCUCUUAAUAAUGCUAUAAUUUUACAAUGUGUUAAGUUAACACGAAGGUUCUUUGUUGUAUACAUAUAUUUUCCUAUUCAUGAAUGGGAUAAACUUUAGAUAUAUAUCCAAGAAAACAUGAUCACAACGACUUAAUAGCAUAUAUAUGCCAUUUUAGAACUCUUAAACUAAGGUCUUCAAUUUUAAUCAUCAAUCCAUAACUUUCUUUUCUAGACAUGGGUACUUUUAUUAUUCUUAAUACAUGGAAUACAAAUUUAUAUUCAUUCUUUGUAUUAGGAGUAUAAUUGUUUUCUAGAUCAGAUGUAUAACUUUCUAUAAUGUUCUGGUUGAUUUUGGAUUACUCACACGUAAGUUUGUUGGCUUUCCCCCUGUUGGACGAUAUUGCCCCUGUCUCAGUUUCAUUGAAUUCAACCUCUUCCAUUAAGCCGACCCAACUUAACAACCCUCUAGAGCUCCCCAUAAUCUACCAAUAGUUGAAGAUCAAACCUCAAGAACAAGUAGAGGAGUUGUCUGCUUUUAAUUUAUUUUUAUGUUUUAGCUGUUUUUUUAUUGCUUGUAUGUUUCCAAACACUUCUACUUUUUGCAGAGCAACUUAGAGCAGUAGGCUGCAAAAUUUUAUGCAUAAAUUCGGUAUGUCAAAGGAGUUGGAGUAAAA